rnacentral:siRNA from 1 species
GUGUGCAAAGAGUUUGCGGGCCC